rnacentral:piRNA from 1 species
UGAAGAAAUGGGAUGAUGAA